rnacentral:antisense_RNA from 1 species
AGCUGCAGGGACGCGGGCGACGAGUGCGAGCGGACAUGCUGAGCACCCCCAGCCAGCCGAGGCCCCGGGUGGCCGCCCGACGAGUCGGUGCUGGACUGGCGCGAGUGCGAGCCCGAAUCAGGCUCCUUGAAGAAAGACUCCGGCAGGAUCUUCUUCCGCCACGAGCUAGGCUUCGGAUUCAUGACAGAGUUGAAGAGGGCUUCGAGGUCUGUGUCUAGGUCCUGCGUGACGUGGAUCACUUGCUGCCCAGGCGGCGGGAGCGGAGGGGGCGCCGAGGCCGGAUUCAUCUUCUGCAAAAAGAAGGACAGGCAGCCCCUCCAAAGAAGUUCAGCCCGAGCCAACUCCACCACGUCUCGACUCCGGAAGCCCAAGGAGCCUGGAGCCCUGGAGUGGUGCGGGGUGAGCGCGCGAGCUCCAGCGGGCACUACCUGGGCGGGCAGCGAAGCUGAGCCUGAGCGCGCGGCGGCCGCCGUCCCGCCCGAACUUGCCGUCGGGCCUGGGUCGCUCGGGUGAGUCCCGAGAUUGCGGAGCUGGAGCCGAGGCUUGGCUGACAAAUCCCGACCCGACUCGGUGCCUGGCAGUCUAAGGGCUUCGGCUCUCACAUCCCCCGAGCUGGCCUAAGGCGCUCGUGCUGGGCGGAAAGGAGGCGCAGGAGAAGCAGACAGCGCGGCCGCAGCAGCUCCCGGACUGUCCCAUAAACAAAGUUUGCAGCAAACUCCCACCCCCAGGAAAGAGGCGGGCCCGAAAGUUGAGCUGUUGAAUUAUGUAUGACCUCUUAGUCCCUAGCCGGCCGGCCCCCGCUCGCCCCUCCUCCUCCUCCUCCUCCUCCUCCUCCCACCCCCGCUCCAGAAAACCCUGGGCGUGAUGGGUACUUUACUGGGUAAGAGGAGACGGGUGCCCCCCACCCACUCCUCCCGGCCCCGCGGACCUCUCCCGCGGAGACCUGCAUCUGCAUUCCUUUGAGUUUACCACGGACUU